GUGCUCGCUUCGGCAGCACAUGUACUAAAAUUGCAACAAUGCAGAGAAGAUGAGCAUGGCCCCCGGGCAAGGAUAACAAGCAAACUUGUGAAGCAUUCCCAUAUUUU